GAGUUUGAUCAUGGCUCAGAACGAACGCUGGCGGCAGGCCUAACACAUGCAAGUCGAACGCCGUAGCAAUACGGAGUGGCAGACGGGUGAGUAACACGUGGGAACGUGCCCAAAGGUACGGAACAACUCCGGGAAACUGGAGCUAAUACCGUAUGUGCCCGAAAGGGGAAAGAUUUGUCGCCUUUGGAUCGGCCCGCGUCUGAUUAGCUAGUUGGUGGGGUAACGGCCUACCAAGGCGACGAUCAGUAGCUGGUCUGAGAGGAUGAUCAGCCACACUGGGACUGAGACACGGCCCAGACUCCUACGGGAGGCAGCAGUGGGGAAUAUUGGACAAUGGGCGCAAGCCUGAUCCAGCCAUGCCGCGUGAGUGAUGAAGGCCUUAGGGUUGUAAAGCUCUUUUGUCCGGGAAGAUAAUGACCGUACCGGAAGAAUAAGCUCCGGCUAACUUCGUGCCAGCAGCAGCCGGCGU
rnacentral:rRNA from 1 species